rnacentral:tRNA from 1 species
AGAUAAAAAAUUUUGAAUUGCACUCAAAAAAAGUUUCCCACUUUAUCUA